UGAUAAAUGUGAUCCGUUACACAGUACCUCUCACUCCAAUGAGGAGACAGCCACUCAGGGUCCACUUUUAACAGGGAGAUACAGAAGAAGGGGGAAGUUGGGGGCAACUAGCAUGAACCUACACACACCCAGAAAUAAAAUCAAGGUACCAGGUAACCACCAAAUAGUGGAAGCGGGGCCUGGUGCGCAUCCUGAGGUCUUAGGUGGGGUGCUCCAGGUUGGAGGGGUAGCUGUUGUUUCAGCUCGCUAAAGCAAACCCUUCCACAAGAGGUUUUGAAAUCUUUUUGGUCACUGUCUCCUUCUAGGUUAUGUUCAAAGCUCCGGACCCUAGUCCCGGAAAAUACGUAUAGAGCAAACAAAAUUUUGUGUAGACUUUUUGGAGUUCUUAGACCCCUGGGUGCUCUUAAAAGGUGGCGCAAGGGGUUAAAGUGAUAACAGGGGUUCAAUCAACUACCCUGUUUGGUUUCCUUCCGUUAUUUUUUUCUCUUUCUUUCUUUAAAACCAAGCCGUUAAAAACCCAAAGGUGUUUUGAAUAUUUCUAAGAGGCAAAGCUUACUAUUUUGUUCCUGGGGUUGGGACCUUUUCUUUCCUUUUGUGAUGCCUUUUAAAAUGUUAUUCUAAAAGCCACAAGGCUGAGUACUAUACCAAUUGAGGGACAUUUAAGAUCGUUCAUGCCUUGGAGCAUAAAAUGAGAUUUUAUUAUGCUUAAGCUAUGCUGAAAUCAUUGAAGGUGCCACACCAAGAAGCAGAUCCCUAGGGGAGAAAUUAACAACUUAGCAUUUUCAGUUCAAGUGGGAAUAUGAAUUCCAUUUGCUGAAGAAAAUAUUUUUGAUAUAGUUAAGAAGAAAAUAUUUCAAAGUAAUAAUAUUUUUACAUAAUACUCAUUUUCCUUGACCCAUUUUCCUGGCUCAGCAAAGAUGCUGUAUGAGCAAGUUGGUCUACAGAGGCCAUAGGUCAGGCCUGUCCUAUUAACGUAAUAGAGAAAAUCAACAAAUAUUUAUUUAUUCUCCACAGUGUGCAAAUCACCAUGCCUUUAAAUAGCAAAAAUGUGUAUACUCUUAAUUGGCAUUCAGUAAAGAUUAAUUAUGAUAUUUAAUAAAAAAGAUUGCUUUAAGCGGUAUCUGAAUGAGUUGUUUGAGCUGCCAUAACAAAAUACAAUAGACCGGGAGGCUUAAACAAUACAAAUUUAUUUUUUGCUAGUUCUGAAGGCUGGAAGUCCCAGAUAAAGGUCUGACAGGGUCAGUUCCUGGCCCCCUUCUCACGGUGUCCUCUCAUGGUGGAGAGAAAGACGGCUGCGAUCUCUUCCUCUUCUUAUGAGGACACUAAUGCCAUCGUCAGCGUCCCAUCCUCAUGAGCUCAUCUAAACCUAUUUACCUCUCCAAAGCCCCACCUCGAAAUACCAUCACGCUGGGGGCUAGGGCCUCAACGCAGUAUUGUUUUUGAUUAACUGAAUACAGCUUUCGUGUUGGCGUGUCCUGGAAAGUCCUGUGGGAGACCUGCUAAGGUCAUUUCUUUGCCUCUAUAGUUGAAAGCCCCCAAAAGUUUUAGAACUGCAGGUUUGCGUAUUAUUCAAAGCUCACGGGAAACAGGUCAAGUAUCCUGUGACUUCAUGAACACUGAACAUUAUAUGACCGUCCUAAAACUCAGUCAAUUAUCAUGAUUAAACGUAGGUUUUAAUCUUUGACAAAGACAGGUGAUUUGGCCGGAAAACACUUAAGCAAUCUUGACCCUAAUUCUUUAUUUUUUGUUAUUUUAUCGGAGUCAUAUUGGCUUACAAGAUUGUGUAAUUUCAGGUGUACAUCACUCUAUUUCAGUUUCUGUAUCGACUGCAUUGUGUUCGCCAACAGUCCAGUUUUUAUCAGUCACCACACAUAUGUGCCCCUUUACCCCUGUCACUCUCCCCUGCCCCCUUCUCAUCUGGUAACCGCUAAUCUAUUCUCCUUAUCUAUGUGUUUAUAACCCUAAUUCUUAAAGCUCUCUUUCUGAAAACUGUUCUGAGAGGAAUAGCAUUAUGAAAAUUUCCAUCUUUACUUAGAGCCUGGCUGUCCCAUAGAAAUACAAUGCAAGCCAUGGAUGGAAUUUAAAGUUUUUAUUAGCCACAUUUAAAGAAAGUAAAAAUCAACAGGUUAAACUCAUUUUAGUCAUAUAUAUCUUAUUUAACCUAGUACGAUAUUGAAAAUAUUAUCAUUUUGACAUGUAAUCAAUAUAGAAAUAUUAAUGAGGUAUUUUACUUUUUUUUUUGGUAUGAAGUUUUGAAAAUGGUGUGUGUUUUACGCUUAGGGGACAAAUCAAUUCAGAUUAGCCAAAUUUCGGGUGCUCAAUAGCCACAUGUGGCAAGUGGCUACCAUAUCGGACAGCUCAGAUUUACAGGAGCUAUGUGAUUUGAACCAUGUUAUAUACAUAGAUGUGACUGCAACCUGAUUAUUGUUUGUUUUAUUAAUAACCUUCAAAAAGGAGAUCAGCGGGAUGGUAUUAUUGGGUUUGAAGCUGUUUAGAAGUCUUUCAUUGGAGUCUCUGGAAUUGAAUCAGGUGUACAUCCUUAGUGAACCUCCUGUCACUGAGUAGAUUCUGGAGUCCUUCAGGAAGAUUUAAAAAGUAUAAAUAUUCACUUUUCAAUUUUACAAUGAUCACCCAUCAGAAGGGUCAUGGAAAGAAUAGGCAGCCCUACUUGGGCCCCAAUUUAUCCAUUUGUUGCUGGCCUAACUCAGAUUUCCACUUUCAUUUACUUUAUGGGUUUUAGCAAUUGUAAUUUAAAGGAAAGCAGGUGGUAUUUAUAUGAGAUUAGUUAAAUGAAAAUGUGAUCUUGGAAUGUUGCACAAAUAGUGUUACCUUAUAUUUAUAUGAGGCUUCUCUUAUAGGAACGCAAGGAUAUUUAUACAUUAUCUAAUUCUCUUAAUUGCUUUAUGAGGUUGGUAGAUGUUAAUAUUCCAAUUUUGCAAAUGUGGAAAAUCAUUUUGCCUAAGACCAUUUUUUAGUGAAAUUUGAAUGGCACACUGAUUUCCUGACUAUCUUAAAUAUGAUGUGUUAACCUUAGUACCUUUCUCUGGUUUUCUUUAAAGUAAAUUUUUAAUGUUCUUUUUUAAAAUCUAACUUAUACAGUAAAGAACAUAAAUCUUAAGUGUACACCUCAUUUUCUUUUACUUAUGUAUAUAUCCAUGUAACCCCCCUCCCUCCAGAUUAAGAUACAGAACAUUUCCAGCCCACCAGCAGGCACCCCUGUGGUCUCUCCCAGCAGAUAACCCCCCAAGAAAAGCACAUUUCUAACCUUUAUCACCAUAGCUUGGUUUUGCCUCUCCUUGAGCUUCAUAUAACUUUUGUGUCAGGCUUCUUUCUGCUCAACAUUAUGUCUGCAAGAUUGAUUCAUGUUGUUGGGUAUAGUAGUGGUUCAUUCUUUUUCAUUGCUAUGUAUUAUUUCAUUAUAUAAAUAUGCCACAAUUUUCUAUCCAUUCUGCUGUUGAUAGAUAUUCUUGUACAUUUUAGUUCAUGUCAUUUGGUGGACAUAAGCACGCUUUAUCCUGUAUAUAUAUUCAUGAAUAGAAUUGCUGAAUUAUAGUAUAUACAUAUGUUUAGCUUUAGUAGAUACUGGCAAAUAGUUUUCCUAAUUAGUUGUACCAAUUUACACUCCCACCAGCAGUGUAUGCGAGUUCUAGCUGUUGCAUAUCUUCACCAGCACUUGGUAUUGUCAGGGGUGUAGCGGUAUACCAUUGUCUUAUUGGGAUUUUGGGAUUUUUAAUUUGCAUUCCCCAAUUGAUCAAUGACAUUAAGCACAUUUGUAUAUGAUUAUUGGUCAUUUGGACAGCCUCUCUUGUGAUGGGCCUUUUCAAGUCUGUUGCCCAUUUUUAAAUUUCUGAGUUGUCGAUCUUUUUUAUUAAUUUGAGGGAAUUCUUUCUAUAUUCUGGACAUAAGUCCUUUGUAGGAUAUUUGUUUUGCAAAUGGCCUCUCCCACUCUAUAGCUUGUGUUUUCGUUCUCGGUGUUCUUAAAGUUCUUAAUUUGAGUGCAACUGAGUUUGUAAAUCUUUUUAUGUCAUGUUAGGAAAUUAUUUUCUAUCUGCAUACACUUUUCUUUUAAACUUGAAUUUGUCAGUGUGUUAGUUUCCUGAGGCUGCUGUAACAAAUUACCACAAACUUGGUUGCUUAAAACAACAGAAAUUCAUUUUUCCACUGUUGUGGCCGCCAGAAGUUGGAAAUCAGUAUCACUGGGCCAAAGUCAAGGUUUCAGCAGGGCUGUGCUCCCUCCAGAGGCUCUAGAGAAGAAUCUGUUCCCUGCCCCUUUCUGUGCCUUGCCUCUUCCAGCUUCUAGAGGCUGCGGGCAUUCCUUGGUUUGUGGCCUCAUCACUCCAAUCCCUGCCCCUGUCUUCAUCACACCUUCUCCUCUGUGUGUAGGAAGUCCCCCUCUGCCUCUCUCUUAUAAGGACUCUUAUGAUGGCAUUUAGGACUCACCCCACUUAUCCAGGAUAAUCUCCCCAUCUCAAGAUCCUUAAUUUAAUCUCAUCUGCAAAGACCCUUUUUCCAUAUAAGGUCAUAAUCCCAGGCUCCAAGGAUUAGGAUGUGGAUGUUUUGGGGGUCCAUUUUGCAAUCUCUCGGUCAAAUUGACUUCAGAGUAACUAAACGUCAAGGCAAGGCAGUGAUAUUAUAGACAGAGUUCUGGCUGGGAGACUUGAGUGAAACUACCCGUGCAAAAUUUUAACAUCUGUGGGCCUCAGUUUCUUUGUCAAUAGGAAUAAUAAUAUAUGUCUUCUCAACUCUACAAAGUUGUUUGCAGGUGAAAUACUGCAUGUGAAAGUCAUUUGAAAUAUUGAAAUUUAGGGUCACGUGGUGCCGUACUUGAGAAGAUGAGGUUGAGUACCUUGCCCACGUAUCACAAUUCUCAUUUCUGCCCCUGAAUGAAACUCCUAGGUUUUAGGCCGUGUAGGAAAUACAGAUCUCUGAGAGACUGCUCCUGCCUUCAAUGAGUGUACAGUUCGGUGAGCUGCUAAAAUGAGUAAGAGCUGCUCUUUACAUGGGCCAUCACUUCUAAAACACUGAACCCAAAACGGGAAAUGGAGUUCGGAGAUGUGAGGCAUGAGGGGGUGGGGAGAGGGGAUGUGCAAGAGGAGGUUGCCACGCUGGGUGAGUGUAGGUUUAUUUCCCUCUGUGAUGUUUAAUAGACUUGUUUUUUCUCUUGUACUAGGAUUCUCCCAAGAAACAGAACCAAUAAGAGAUGGACAGGUCUAGAUAAAAAGAUGUGUUUGAGGAACUGGCUCACAUGAUUACAGAGACUGAGAAGUCCCACGAUCUGCAUCUAAAAGCCGGAGACCCAGCAAAGCCGAUGUGUAAUUCCUGUCUGAGUCCAAAGGCCUAACAACCAGAGGAGCUGAUGGUGUAAAUCCACGUCCAAGGGCAGGAGAAGACCGAGGUCCCAGCUCAACCUGGCAGGGCUCCUUUACUUUGAAGAGGAGAAGCCAGAAGCUACAUUUGCCAGAAUCCUCUUCAUUUUGCGGCCAGGCUAGAGCAUGUCAGCGAGAGGCACCCUUGCGCCCAAGUGAUGGAGCGAUCCUUAUUCUCCAGUCAGUUGCAGUCAGAAUUGUGAGUAGAUGUGAUACUCCUGGAAACUUCAAGGCAAGUUGUUUUUGUUUUUUUUUUUAAAGAUUGGCACCUGAGCUAACAUCUGUUGCCAAUCUUCUUCCCCUCCUCCUUUCCUCCUCUCCCCU